AUUAACCGUUUUACCAGUUGAGUACAAAGUAAAAAUUUGUUUAGAGAGUUCCUGUUUGGUGCAAAGGAAUCAAAUUUAGCUUUAGAAGAUGGACUAGGUUUCGGAUUAUUAGUGAGUUUCGACAAGCUAAUAACGGUUUUGUGCCCGAUAUCAGUACAAGAUUAUUCCAAUUUAUUUGGUGCAAUCUACUGAGGUUGGGUCUUAACGGGUCUAGCGAACUAAGGUGGUAUCACGACAAACAGUCGUCCUUUAA
rnacentral:ncRNA from 1 species